rnacentral:lncRNA from 1 species
AAGCCUAGUCCCUAGAUCAUUCCUCUAUUUACACUCUCUCCUUGGUGAUCUCAUUUAGGUUUAUGGCUGCUAAACACCAUCUAUUCAUUGACUGACAUCCAGACCUCUCCCCUAUUUCAGAUUUGUAUAUCCAACUGCCUACCUGAAAUCUCCAAGUGGAUGUCUCACAGGCAGCUCAAACUUAACAAAUCCAAAUUUGACUAUAACUUUGUCUCAGACUUGCUCCUCCUCCAGCUGUCCACAGGUCAGUAAAUGGCAACUCCAUUUUUAUAAUUCCAAAUCUUGUAGUCAUCCAAAAGCUCAUAUCUUCUCAAUACCACAUAUCCAAUACUGCAGCAAAUCCUGUUAGCUUUAUCUUCAAAAUACAUCCAGAACCUGACCGCUUCUCAUCAUUUCCACUGCUAUCACCCUGGUUUAAAUCACCAUAAUGUCUUAUUUGGAUUACUACGAUAAUCACGUAAUAAGGCUUCUGCAACAUAUCAGGCUCCCUCAACACAUGCCCUUAACUCCUCUGUUCAAAACCUCCCUGUGAGUUUUAUUCCACCCAGUCUAAGAGCAAACACUCAUUAUAAUUGCUUUCAAGGCUCUACAAGAAUUCUACUUCUAAUGUGAAAAAAAAUUUGGGAAUGCUCAAGGUGGCAUGUUUGUAAAAGUAAAUAAUUGGAAAUAGCUAAACAUCCAUC